rnacentral:rRNA from 1 species
GAGAGAAGCUUGCUUCUCUUGAGAGCGGCGGACGGGUGAGUAAUGCCUAGGAAUCUGCCUGGUAGUGGGGGAUAACGUUCGGAAACGGACGCUAAUACCGCAUACGUCCUACGGGAGAAAGCAGGGGACCUUCGGGCCUUGCGCUAUCAGAUGAGCCUAGGUCGGAUUAGCUAGUUGGUGGGGUAAUGGCUCACCAAGGCGACGAUCCGUAACUGGUCUGAGAGGAUGAUCAGUCACACUGGAACUGAGACACGGUCCAGACUCCUACGGGAGGCAGCAGUGGGGAAUAUUGGACAAUGGGCGAAAGCCUGAUCCAGCCAUGCCGCGUGUGUGAAGAAGGUCUUCGGAUUGUAAAGCACUUUAAGUUGGGAGGAAGGGCAGUUACCUAAUACGUGAUUGUUUUGACGUUACCGACAGAAUAAGGAUCGGCUAACUCCGUGCCAGCAGCCGCGGUAAU